AGCAGAGAAGGAGGGUGUUCUUCUGCCUGACUCGGUAGGAAGCUCCGUGGGGCAGUGGCCCAAAAGCAACAGACUACAGAGAGGAGACCCUCCAAAUCAGCGCCAGCCGCCAAGGGUGAGCCAGAGCUGGCCUUUCUCCCAGAAAGUGCCCCACAGAUUCCAAGCCGAUCCUUCACCCUCCGUCUCCACUUCCCGGUUUCCCCCGUCAAAUACACCGACUCAUAAAUGCGGACUGACGCUUUUUAUUUAACAGCAAAAUCAAAAGCUCACCACUUUAAGAGGUGGCCAGAUACAACCUGUAAAAGUUUAAGAGAAACACUUUUUUGUUUUAAAAUGUCUUGAAGCACACCUUGAGAAUGGAUAGGGGUUCUGCAGGGCAUGGUCAAAAAAGUCAAGAUGGCGGCGAUGCACAUAAGAAGUGUCCAGAGCUUUGACUGCACUGUGGUGGCCACCAUCUUGACUUUUGACCCCACCCUGCAGACAGCCCUGAGAACAUGAGGAUGAAGCCUUUAACGGGAUGCUUCUGCCCCGGAGGGAAUCUCGGGUGGCGCUGUGCGCUGCGGAGGGCGGCUGGUUCCCGGAGAUCGGACUUGGCCAAGCGGGCGCAUGGACCCCGUGCCCACAGUGAUCUUGCAGCAGCAGCAGCAGCAGCAGCAGCAGCAGCAGCAGCAGCAGCAGCAUCGCCUGAUUCCCUCCGUCUCUUCCUCUCAACUCCGCAGCAGGAAAGAUUCCAGCGACUGUUAGAGAGAGAAGCCGAAGAAUCACCAACGGAAGCUUAAGGGAAAGCGGACGGUAGCUCCCCCUUCGAUGGAUGAGAAGAUAGGGGUAUCUCCCCUCUCCGCUUUACCACCCUUGGAAUGACC